UAGGGAAUCUUCGGCAAUGGACGAAAGUCUGACCGAGCAACGCCGCGUGAGUGAAGAAGGUUUUCGGAUCGUAAAACUCUGUUGUUAGAGAAGAACAAGGAUGAGAAGAGAAUGUUCAUCCCUUGACGGUAUCUAACCAGAAAGCCACGGCUAACUACGUGCCAGCAGCCGCGGUAAUACGUAGGUGGCAAGCGUUGUCCGGAUUUAUUGGGCGUAAAGCGAGCGCAGGCGGCUCUUUAAGUCUGAUGUGAAAGCCCCCGGCUUAACCGGGGAGGGUCAUUGGAAACUGGGGAACUUGAGUGCAGAAGAGGAGAGUGGAAUUCCAUGUGUAGCGGUGAAAUGCGUAGAUAUAUGGAGGAACACCAGUGGCGAAGGCGGCUCUCUGGUCUGUAACUGACGCUGAGGCUCGAAAGCGUGGGGAGCAAACA
rnacentral:rRNA from 1 species